GACGUAGGGCGCGAGCGUUGUCCGGAUUUAUUGGGCGUAAAGAGCUCGUAGGCGGUUUGUCACGUCUGCUGUGAAAACUGGAGGCUCAACCUCCAGCUUGCAGUGGGUACGGGCAGACUAGAGUGCGGUAGGGGAGAUUGGAAUUCCUGGUGUAGCGGUGGAAUGCGCAGAUAUCAGGAGGAACACCGAUGGCGAAGGCAGAUCUCUGGGCCGUAACUGACGCUGAGGAGCGAAAGCGUGGGGAGCGAACAGG
rnacentral:rRNA from 1 species